GUUGUCCCGUUUCAAAGCAGCGUUUACGCCAACGUGAAACGAAUCCUUUUAUCACCACCAUGUUUGAACGCGUAAGACUGAGAGUAAAGGCGUUGAACGGGAAGCGCAACAGCAGGGAGCUUGGUGUGACAAGCUACCAGCUGCCAAAACUGGCUAGUCACAACUGGUAGUCCAUCUUUUCCAGUUGAAAUACACAGCUGCCAAAGAUGGUGUCAAGAUGAAGCUUGAUCAGCCCGGCCUGUGUUUGGCAGCUGUAUCUCACAAAAGUGAGUACACCUGCUCCCCAUUCACACCUGAGACCUUGUAACACUAACAAGUCACAUGACAGCAGGGAGGGAAAAUGGCUAAUUGGACCCAAUUUGGACAUUUUCACUUAGUAAUACGAUCCAUGUGACACUCAAGGAUGAUGACCAAAGAGGUGGCACAAAGCCAAGAAACAAGAUACUGUAAACCUUAGACUAUGGUAAGUGUGUGUGUCUGGAGAAAUAAAUCAUUUUAAAAUAAAGCUGCUUUUUUUUUUGCCUUCUACAUACAUACUCUAGAAAGAAUGUUUUCCUACAUACUUGUCUAUUCAUCUUUAAAUCUCUCAGCUCAGCCAACACCAUGAAGAAGAUUCAAAGCACUUGUACCAAGAAAUAAGUAAUAUUCCACUGUAAAAAGGACACAGUUACAGAGCAAAUUGUGGUGUAAAAACAUGAUGUAUUAUUAAAACCAACAAACGCAUUAAAAUGUUUGCUGUAGUCUUUCUCAAACUUUAAACUUUGACAGUUUAAAAAAGGCUGCCUUGGUAAACGCCAUAAGUAAAUGCACCACACCUAAACCAACCUCAGUGCUUUAACUGUAACUAUAAUACUACAUUAAUGCGCAUUAUGGUGUCAGCUGUUUCACUGGACUUAAAUAGUCUAAAUAAUAAUUAUUAGACUCUUGGCAAAAUUCUAAAUAAUU